UACGUAGGGUGCAAGCGUUGUCCGGAAUUAUUGGGCGUAAAGAGCUCGUAGGCGGUUUGUCGCGUCGAAUGUGAAAACCCGGGGCUCAACCCCGGGCCUGCAUUCGAUACGGGCAGACUAGAGUUCGGUAGGGGAGUCUGGAAUUCCUGGUGUAGCGGUGAAAUGCGCAGAUAUCAGGAGGAACACCGGUGGCGAAGGCGGGACUCUGGGCCGAUACUGACGCUGAGGCACGAAGGCGUGGGGAGCGAACGGG
rnacentral:rRNA from 1 species